GACGGAGGAUGCAAGCGUUAUCCGGAAUGAUUGGGCGUAAAGCGUCCGCAGGUGGCAGUUCAAGUCUGCUGUCAAAGACCGGGGCUUAACUUCGGAAAGGCAGUGGAAACUGAACAGCUAGAGUAUGGUAGGGGCAGAGGGAAUUCCUGGUGUAGCGGUGAAAUGCGUAGAGAUCAGGAAGAACAUCGGUGGCGAAGGCGCUCUGCUGGACCAUAACUGACGCUGAGAAGCGAAAGCAUGGGGAGCGAACAGG
rnacentral:rRNA from 1 species